rnacentral:tRNA from 1 species
GCCCGGGUGGCGGAAUUGGCAGACGCGCAAGCCUCAGGAGCUUGUCCGAGUAAUCGGGUGGAGGUUCGAGCCCUCUCCCGGGCA